ensembl:lncRNA
CUUCUUUUACUCACAGUUCAAAUGAAGUUAUUCUUCUUGGUUCUUAUUUUCUCUAAUCCCAACACCAUCACAAGCUAUUUCUUGGUACUGGUUCUUCCACCUUCACUACCUCAGUGGAGACGGACACAAUAUGCUGCUGUGAGGUCAGAGGAGAGACAGCGGCUGAUGGAUGAGUCAGAAGAGGGGCAGGAGAAAUCCACCUCAGGAGACUGAGUCCUAGAGGGUCGAUGAGAGAGGCUCACAGCCACACCACCCUGAAAACAACCAAGCUCCUCCCGUGUGGAGAAUUGUUGUUUUUAGCAACUUGAAAAGGCUAAGCAUUUUUUACUCUUCCACAAGUGUGGCAAGAGUCCUGUCCACAGCCACAGGAGUCUUCUACAAGUGGAUAGUUGUGGAAGACUCCUGGUUGUAAAUGCAGUUUCAAGAGUUUGUAUAUAAAUGUAAAAAAUGAUGCUUUUGAUGAAAAUUUCAAAUACUUUUAAAAACAUUUAAAAAUGGAUUUCUAUUACGUUUAUUUAAAAUGCAUCUGCAUCAGAAAUACUAUUUGUGAACAUUUUGUCCAAAGGUUACGUCUGACAGUAUUCUGCCUUCAGACAUAUUGCUACACACACGCACGCAUGCACGCACGCACACGCACACACAUACAGAAAGACACAGAUUUUGUCAGAGGACAAAAAGCUGAGUGAGUUAAUUUGAUAGUUAAAUACAAUGUUUUGUCUAGUACUGAGGUGUGGACGUACAUUAUUUGAAUGUGUGGGUGUGUACAAUCAAACCUGUUUUGAGCACAGGUACAGUAUGUCUGGUAUAUUUUCAAGUGGUGUCUAAAAAAUCCAAUUCCUGUCACUCAAAAAUAAUAAUAAAAAGAAAAUGGACUUAAUGAAUAGGUGCUUGCACAUACAAAAUGCACAAUGCACACUCCCUUUCAGAGAGCUCGAACCAGUACAUCUAAUUUCACACACCUGUGCCAAGGUGUACACAUUCAUGCAUAACCAGUAACCAUCAAGAUUCAAGGUAUUUAUUGUCAUAUGCACAGUUAAACAGACAGUUGUACCGUACAAUGAAAAACUUACUUUGCUAAUUCACCGUCACCUUUUAGCUCUAGUGACGUGGCUCUUGGGAUGACGAUGUUGGUCUGUUGAAUGCAUUUCCCCCUUUCCACUGAUGUUUCCUCUACAGCCCCCAGUAAGUCAAAGUUUUCAGUUAACAGAUGAAAUGUCUCAAAUUCCUGGUUCCAUAUGGACACAUCCUGAUGAAUGAUGAUUUGUGCUUAUCAAACUGCUUGGUGGACUUCAAUUCGACUGUGGCAUCUUAAGAUUUGCACACCCCCCACCCACAGUGUCGCUCAGUUCAUACAGUGGGGGGACACGACACGAUCAUGAUUAUCAUGUCGUGCAGGAUCUGAAACGAUGUGCAUGAUGAGAUGACUCAGUGUGAUGAUGAGAUUGGGUUGUUCAUGCAUCAAAACCACUCAGAUGCUUUACUCUACACUAGGCUUGUGUGAUAUGACGAUAUUAACGUUUAAACACGAUAUUGGUUGGUGGUCCUGACAUGGUUGUUUUUUCUUAAGACAAAAGAAGAUAAAAGUUUACUUAAAAUGAAAUACAAACAAACUAGUUACAAUGUCAGUGCAGAGGAAUGGAAGGAUUAUGAUACACACCUUCACAUUUGGGGUUUGAUUUUGCAGCAAAGAAGAGAUGGAGCUGUUGUCUUUGUCAGGCACACUGUCCAUUUUUUUCUCUUCAACCCAGUUGUUGUGCAGAGUUUUCUUUUUCAUGUCAGCUGACUUGGGGUCAGAGGGCAGGCUCUCUGGGUAGACUUUGUCUCCCAUCAAAGGGCAGAGCUCAGCAGAGCUUAGCUUACUCUCUUGCUCUUUUUUCAGAGCACUCAAACUACAAGUGGGGCUUGUGACCUCCUUCACCAUAAUCAUGUUUUGCCACUGAAGCCUUUCUGUUUUCAGUUGGUUCUGCUGUUUUUCAACCAGGAACUCCUGCCUCCUAGUCUUCUCCACUUUUACUUUCAGUGCCCUUUCGGUCACCUUUUUCUCUCUUC